rnacentral:rRNA from 1 species
GCAUGCGAAUCUCGAAAGCCUAUCUCAGUUCGGAUUGGAGGCUGAAACCCGCCUCCAUGAAGUUGGAUUCGCUAGUAAUCGCGCAUCAGCCAUGGCGCGGUGAAUACGUUCCCGGGCCUUGUACACACCGCCCGUCAAGCCAUGGGAGCCGGGGGUGCCUGAAGUUCGUUACCGCAAGGAUCGACCUAGGGCAAAACUGGUGACUGGGGCUAAGUCGUAACAAGGUAUC